rnacentral:rRNA from 1 species
CACAGCUCCGGAGACCUUGCACCCCGAACGGAGGCAGCACGACGAUAAACAAAGCUCGCCGCGUGCAAGUUGGCCGCACGGUCAGCAACACGAUCGAAUUGACGGGGACCUCCUAAAGCCUGCAACACCAACCGUCCGGGGAAACUCGGGCGGGGCCCUCACGGGGUGGUAAGAGAGUGCAGGAUGAACAAUGGACGAUCCGCAGCGAAGACCCUACCGGCGAGAGCCCACGGGUACCGUUCACAGACUAA